GGGGCCGUAGCUCAGUUGGUAGAGCACAAGGUGAGCUCAUUCUCGCUAACCAAGCUUGCAAGCGCUGGUUCAAAUGAAAAUUUGAAUCAAGAUGAGUGAGGCUUGAGGUCGUGGGUUCGAAUCCCGCCGGCUCCA
rnacentral:tRNA from 1 species